GUGUGCAACCUGCCUUUAUCAGGGGGAUAGCCUUUCGAAAGGAAGAUUAAUACCCCAUAAUAUAUUAUUCGGCAUCGGGUGAUAUUGAAAACUACGGUGGAUAGAGAUGGGCACGCGCAAGAUUAGCUAGUUGGUGAGGUAACGGCUCACCAAGGCGACGAUCUUUAGGGGGCCUGAGAGGGUGAUCCCCCACACUGGUACUGAGACACGGACCAGACUCCUACGGGAGGCAGCAGUGAGGAAUAUUGGACAAUGGGUGGAAGCCUGAUCCAGCCAUCCCGCGUGCAGGAAGACGGCCCUAUGGGUUGUAAACUGCUUUUAUCUGGGGAUAAACCUACUUACGUGUAAGUAGCUGAAGGUACCAGAAAAAUAAGCACCGGCUAACUCCGUGCCAGCAGCCGCGGUAAUACGGAGGGUGCAAGCGUUAUCCGGAUUUAUUGGGUUUAAAGGGUCCGUAGGCGGACUGAUAAGUCAGUGGUGAAAUCCGACAGCUUAACUGUCGAACUGCCAUUGAUACUGUUAUUCUUGAGUAAGGUUGAAGUGGC
rnacentral:rRNA from 1 species